GAUGAACGCUGGCGGCGUGCUUAACACAUGCAAGUCGAACGGAAAGGCUCCCGCUUGCAGGGGUACUCGAGUGGCGAACGGGUGAGUAACACGUGGGUGAUCUGCCCUGCACUUCGGGAUAAGCCUGGGAAACUGGGUCUAAUACCGGAUAGGACGAUGGUUUGGAUGCCAUUGUGGAAAGUUUUUCGGUGUGGGAUGAGCUCGCGGCCUAUCAGCUUGUUGGUGGGGUAAUGGCCUACCAAGGCGUCGACGGGUAGCCGGCCUGAGAGGGUGUACGGCCACAUUGGGACUGAGAUACGGCCCAGACUCCUACGGGAGGCAGCAGUGGGGAAUAUUGCACAAUGGGCGCAAGCCUGAUGCAGCGACGCCGCGUGGGGGAUGACGGCCUUCGGGUUGUAAACUCCUUUCGCUAGGGACGAAGCGCAAGUGACGGUACCUGGAGAAGAAGCACCGGCUAACUACGUG
rnacentral:rRNA from 1 species